rnacentral:rRNA from 1 species
AUGUGGUUCCAGGCGUUUAAACGCCGGCAGCGCCCGGUCUCAUGGGAUAAUUUUUUAGCAGCUAUUUUGGAGGAAUUUGGUGCAGAUGAGUAUGACAGUCAGUUGUCCAAGUUACUGCAACUCAAACAAACAGGAUCUGUUGCCGAGUACAAGCAACAAUUUGAGACUGUCAUGUACCAUCUGACAGCUCUCGAUCCUUCUCUGAACUCAUGGUGGUUUGUCACCCAGUUCAUGCUUGGACUGAGGGAUGACAUCAGGUGUGCCGUACGGUUGCAGGCGCCCUCCAGUGUCACGCGUGCGGCGUCUUUGGCCAGGAUCCAGGAAGAAGAAGGAGAGACACACAGGCCUCGUGGGCGUCCUCCUGCUCCAACCAAGCACCCACCUACCUCAACAGUGCAGCCAACUAUGACAACAACACCACGCACAGAUUGGCCGCGUCGCACUGGUAAUGAUGAUUUCAACCGUGAACGUCAGCUUCGUGAUUUUCGUCAUGCUAAUGGUCUUUGUUUCAAGUGUGGGGACAAAUACAACAAAGAGCAUCAGUGUCGUCGAACGGGGCAAUUGUUGACCAUCGAAGUGGGGGACUAUGGGGAAGUUAUUUCUGAUGAAGUUGUUCAUGCCCUGAGUCUUCUCGAUGAAACAACAACAACAACCACAACUGGGGAAUGUUGUCAGUUAUCUGUACAUGCUCUCGCGGGUACUGAAUUGUUACACACGAUUCGUUUGCAGGCUACUGUUGAUGGCCAGGCAAUGUUGCUUUUGGUCGAUUCGGGCAGCUCACAUACAUUUGUGACCCAAUCUUUUGCUGAGCGUGCCAACUGCAUUGUUACAGCAGCUCCAGCAGUGCCGGUUAGAGUUGCCAAUGGUCAGUUUCUGCAUUCAGACUCUCAAGUACAAGGACUGAAGUGGUGCACACAGGGCCAUGAAUUUUCUACUGACAUGCGCAUCCUUGAGCUGGGGGCAUAUGAUGCCAUUCUUGGAAUGGAUUGGCUCACUUGUUUCAGUCCUAUGAACUGUCACUGGGGAGAGAAGACCAUGCAAUUUCAGUAUCACGACCAACUGAUUACCCUACAAGGAAUUGUAGUUGCAGAGCAAGGGGUGUUACAGGAAUUGCAUGCAGAACAACUAGUGAAAUGGUUGGAUGACAAUGAAGUAUGGGCCCUGGCUGUAGUUGAGAAUUUCUCGACGGUGGACAAGCAGCAGUCUCCUCUAGCACCUGAUCUUCAGGCAUUGCUAACCGAAUUUUCAGAUGUGUUUUCCGAGCCAAAUUUUGUGCCACCUCGGAGAUCUUUGGACCAUGCCAUCACUCUGCAACAGGAUGCACAACCAGUAAAUUCCAGACCCUAUCGAUACUCUCCCUUGCAAAAAAGAUGA